rnacentral:lncRNA from 1 species
GGUGGGUUCUGAGGUCUCAGAAGCUCAAGCCAGGUCUAGCGGCAUUCAUUUCCUGCUGCCUGCAGAUCCUUAUGUAGAACUCUCAGCUACCUCUCCAGCACCAUGUCUGCCUGUGUGCCGUCAUGCUUCCCACUAUAAUGCUAAUGGACUAAACCUCUGAACUGUUGUCAGGGCAGUGUCAUGGCCACAGCAGAAGUGAAGAUGAGCAGAUGGUGUCAACCUGACAGAAGAGACAGGCUGAGACAUGACCAAAGUGACAGGAGAAUAUGUGGAAGAGUUCGAGGUGACAAUAAUCCUUUUCUGUCGUGGCUUUGCACAGAGACAUUUGAACAUCUGUGUGGGUUAAAAGUUCAGUCAGCAAAAGGAGAGAGCCCCGGGUGGUGGCUAAAGUCAGAGCACUUUGAGCAACCAAGCAAGUCAAGAAGCAUAUUUCAGAAAAUAAAAUAAAACUCUCGGCUAUGGAUGGAAACAAAUGAUGGAAGAAGCCAACUGCCUGGAGAAGAAUUCCAAGUAAUUUUACAUACAUAUUCCAUGUUCAAGGAUGUGGAGUCUAACUCCCCAUUUCUUAACUGUGGGCUGAGAACUGUGAUAUCCUUCCUAAGGACUUAGUGUGGAAAUGGGGGAAAGACCACUUAGAGAGAAGCCAUCUGAUAAACACUUCCUCAGCCAGGGAUGAAGGUCAACAUCACCUGUGAUGGGUUAUGGGGGAAAAAUGUACCCAUGAAAACACAGAAUUCAAAUAUCAUUGGAAUUUUACAGUCUCCGUCAAAAACCCAGAACCACUGAAUGAUUGUGAGAAAAAUGCCCGACAAAUCCAAAUGAAUGCACCUUAUACAAGCAUAGUCAACCACCACUUUUCAAAACAGACAACACACGCACACACCACCACCACCACCACCACCAUCAGGACCACCAGCAGCAGCAGCAUCAGCAGCAACAACAAAACUGAAAAACUGUUAGAGCCAAGAAGAGUCAAAUAAGACAAAAUGACUAAAUGUAACAUGGUAUCCUGUAUGGGGCCCUGGAUCAC